rnacentral:tRNA from 1 species
GCCUAAUUUAGUUUAAUGGAAAAUUUUGAAUUGUGGAUUCAAAGAUGAUUUUGGAAUCAUUAGGUA